rnacentral:tRNA from 1 species
GGUCCAUUAGCUUAGUCGGUAGAGCACCUGACUCUUAAUCAGGGGGUCCCGCGUUCGAGUCGCGGAUGGAUCACCA